rnacentral:rRNA from 1 species
AGAACGAACGCUGGCGGCGCGUUUUAAGCAUGCAAGUCGAACGGUAGUCCCGUUUUCGGAUGGGAUGAGAGUGGCGGACGGGUGAGUAACACGUAGGUGAUCUAUCUUAUGGUUGGGGGAUAGCCCAUGGAAACAUGGGGUAAUACCGCAUGAGGCUGUAGUUAUAGCGAUUACAGUGAAAGGCGCGUUAUGUGCCGACUGAGGAUGAGCCUGCGGUCCAUUAGCUAGUUGGUUAGGGUAAGAGCCUACCAAGGCGACGAUGGAUAGCCGACCUGAGAGGGUGGACGGCCACACUGGGACUGAGACACGGCCCAGACUCCUACGGGAGGCAGCAGCUAAGAAUCUUCCGCAAUGGGCGAAAGCCUGACGGAGCGAUGCCGCGUGAACGAUGAAGGCAGGAAUGUUGUAAAGUUCUUUUCCUGGUGAGGAAUAAGGUUAAGAGUGGACUGCUUGACUGAUGACGUUAACCAGGGAAUAAGCCCCGGCCAAUUACGUGCCAGCAGCCG